CUCAUUAAAUCAGUUAUCGUUUAUUUGAUAGUACCUUACUACUUGGAUAACCGUGGUAAUUCUAGAGCUAAUACAUGCUAAAAACCCCGACUUCGGAAGGGGUGUAUUUAUUAGAUAAAAAACCAAUGCCCUUCGGGGCUCCUUGGUGAUUCAUGAUAACUUAACGAAUCGCAUGGCCUUGCGCCGGCGAUGGUUCAUUCAAAUUUCUGCCCUAUCAACUUUCGAUGGUAGGAUAGUGGCCUACCAUGGUAUCAACGGGUAACGGGGAAUUAGGGUUCUAUUCCGGAGAGGGAGCCUGAGAAACGGCUACCACAUCCAAGGAAGGCAGCAGGCGCGCAAAUUACCCAAUCCCGACACGGGGAGGUAGUGACAAUAAAUACUGAUACAGGGCUCUUUUGGGUCUUGUAAUUGGAAUGAGUACAAUUUAAAUACCUUAACGAGGAACAAUUGGAGGGCAAGUCUGGUGCCAGCAGCCGCGGUAAUUCCAGCUCCAAUAGCGUAUAUUAAAGUUGUUGCAGUUAAAAAGCUCGUAGUUGAACCUUGGGCCUGGCUGGCCGGUCCGCCUCACCGCGUGUACUGGUCCGGCCGGGCCUUUCCUUCUGGGGAUCCCCAUGCCCUUCACUGGGUGUGGUGGGGAACCAGGACUUUUACUUUGAAAAAAUUAGAGUGUUCAAAGCAGGCCUUUGCUCGAAUACAUUAGCAUGGAAUAAUAGAAUAGGACGUGCGGUCCUAUUUUGUUGGUUUCUAGGACCGCCGUAAUGAUUAAUAGGGAUAGUCGGGGGCAUCAGUAUUCAAUUGUCAGAGGUGAAAUUCUUGGAUUUAUUGAAGACUAACUACUGCGAAAGCAUUUGCCAAGGAUGUUUUCAUUAAUCAGUGAACGAAAGUUAGGGGAUCGAAGACGAUCAGAUACCGUCGUAGUCUUAACCGUAAACUAUGCCGACUAGGGAUCGGGCGAUGUUAUUAUUUUGACUCGCUCGGCACCUUACGAGAAAUCAAGUCU
rnacentral:rRNA from 2 species